UACAGAGGGUGCAAACGUUGUUCGGAAUUACUGGGCGUAAAGCGUGCGUAGGCGGUUUGUUAAGACAGGUGUGAAAUCCCCGGGCUUAACCUGGGAACUGCGCUUGUUACUGGCAGACUUGAGUGUGGCAGAGGGGGGUGGAAUUCCACGUGUAGCAGUGGAAUGCGUAGAGAUGUGGAGGAACACCGAUGGCGAAGGCAGCCCCCUGGGCUAACACUGACGCUGAUGCACGAAAGCGUGGGGAGCAAACAGG
rnacentral:rRNA from 1 species